GACAGAGGGUGCAAACGUUGUUCGGAAUUACUGGGCGUAAAGCGCGUGUAGGCGGCUAUGCAAGUCGGAUGUGAAAGCCCUCGACUCAACCGGGGAAGUGCACCCGAAACUGCAAAGCUAGAGUCUCGGAGAGGAUCGUGGAAUUCUCGGUGUAGAGGUGAAAUUCGUAGAUAUCGAGAGGAACACCGGUGGCGAAGGCGACGAUCUGGACGAUGACUGACGCUGAGACGCGAAAGCGUGGGAAGCAAACAGG
rnacentral:rRNA from 1 species